UUACGGCCAUAUCACGUUCAAACACCGGUUUCCGUACGAUCACCGAAAUUAAGCAACGUCGAACUUGAUUAAUACGCAGAUGAGUGACCGCUUGAGAACGCCAGUUGCUGUAAG